GAAUUAUGUGGCUCCUUCAUGUACUUUUUGAUUGAACAGUGAUAACUCAGAUAAUACAUUAUCCCGUGCCCCUCUCUGAGAGGAACCUGCCUUUUUUUUUUUUUUUUUUUCUUUUUUUUUUUUUUUUUUUUUUUUUUAACAGAGCAGUGAAAGAAGACUUCAUAGAGGCAUUUAAAGUGACAUCACCAUGCCAAUCCCAACUUACUACAACCGGCGAGAAGCAACUGCUAGACCAGAUUAAAUACGACGAAGGGUAGUACGGGUGUGUGGAGAAGCAGAGAAGAUGCACCUGACCCAGCUUUGUGGCUGAUUUCUGGAUUCAAAUCCAUGCCCCGUGAUGAGCUUGGUCUUCUGGAGCUACCUGCAUGUGCUUAAUUUACCUUCCUCCUGCCUGUUGAAGGAAACGUUCAGGUCUCUUAAGACUUCUCUCAAAUAAACAUCACUGAUUUCAUAAAUAACAAUUUUCCAGACUUCGCAUCCCUUCCCUUUUUCUCGUAGACGUCAACCUCCUAAAUUGUGGUGCCCAGGUUUAAUGCAGUAGACCCUUGCCAUGUGGGGAGUUGUAUUUGCAGUCUAGAAUUUAUUUGAAGUUCUGUGACAUGCUUUUCUUGAGGCACAAAUUGGAAUCACACAGGCUUCGGGGGAGG
rnacentral:lncRNA from 1 species